rnacentral:misc_RNA from 1 species
UCUUGAUGGUGAAGUGGGCAAGAGACUAAAUCAGAUGGUUCCUAUUCCUCACGUCCCUAAAAUUAAUGGGGAAUUACCAUCAGAAGAUGAAGAGAUUUCAGAUCAUCAAAGGCUGUUAGACAGGUUGAAGGUAUAUAAUUUGGUUGAAAAUAAGGUCCAAGGAGAUGGAAACUGUCAGUUUCGUGCCUUAUCAGAUCAACUCUAUCGUUCAUCUGAGCAACACAAAGUUGUAAGGGAUUGUGUUCUUUCUCAGCUGAAGUCUUACC